UGGAUGGCGGGCGUGCUAUACAUGCAAGUCGAGCGGACGAUUCAAAAGCUUGCUUUUGAGAUCGUUAGCGGCGGACGGGUGAGUAACACGUGGGCAACCUGCCCUGUAGACGGGGAUAACACCGAGAAAUCGGUGCUAAUACCGGAUAACACGAAAGACCGCAUGGUUUUUCGUUGAAAGGCGGCGCAAGCUGUCGCUACAGGAUGGGCCCGCGGCGCAUUAGCUAGUUGGUGAGGUAACGGCUCACCAAGGCGACGAUGCGUAGCCGACCUGAGAGGGUGAUCGGCCACACUGGGACUGAGACACGGCCCAUACUCCUACGGGAGGCAUCAGUAGGGAAUCUCUCCGCAAUGGGACGAAUGUCUGACGUGACUUGCCCCCGUGUGUCCUGACCAGGAUUC
rnacentral:rRNA from 1 species